UGGGGAAUCUUGCACAAUGGGGGCAACCCUGAUGCAGCGACGCCGCGUGAGUGAUGAAGCCCUUCGGGGUGUAAAGCUCUUUCGACAGGAACGAUAAUGACGGUACCUGAAGAAGAAGCUGCGGCUAACUACGUGCCAGCAGCCGCGGUAAUACGUAGGCAGCAAGCGUUGUUCGGAAUUACUGGGCGUAAAGAGUGUGUAGGUGGUGCUCUAAGUCUGUCGUGAAAUCUCCCGGCUUAACUGGGAGGGUGCGGCGGAAACUGGGGCGCUCGAGUAUGGGAGAGGAAAGCGGAAUUCCUGGUGUAGCGGUGAAAUGCGUAGAUAUCAGGAGGAACACCUGUGGUGUAGACAGCUUUCUGGACCAUUACUGACACUGAGACACGAAAGCGUGGGUAGCAAACAG
rnacentral:rRNA from 1 species